ACUCACAGACCGCGAGAUCAUGACCUGAGCCGAAGUCGGACGCUUAACCGACUGAGCCACCCAGGUGCCCCUGUUGGGCUCUUUAUUUCUUAUUAGCCAAUCUCCGAUUACUCCACCCUCGUUAGAGUCAUUAAUUCUUUAUAUUAUACUUUCCCCAUACAGAUUCAGCAUGGUAGCUCCUGACUGAUCCACUCACUCUGGCUCUGGAGGAGUGGAUCUCUCGCGGACGCACACAUUUUGAAUUGUGAUGAAGUCCAAUUUAUCAGGUUUUCUUGCUGAGAUUUUGAUGGGAGUUGCAUUAAACCUGUAUAUCAAUUUGGGGAUAACUGACUUAACUCUGCUGAAUCUUCCCAUUCAUGAAAAAGAGAUGUCUCUCCAUUUAUUUAAAUCUGCCUUUGUUUCCCUCAUCAGUAUUUUUUAGUUUUCCGCACGGAAAUCCAUACGUUUUGUUAGAUUGACAUCUAAAUAUUUCAUGUUUAUGGACUGUAAAUGUAAAUUAAAAAUAAAUUUGGUUUGGAUUGUUC